rnacentral:rRNA from 1 species
GACGAACGCUGGCGGCGUGCUUAACACAUGCAAGUCGAGCGGAAAGGCCCUUCGGGGUACUCGAGCGGCGAACGGGUGAGUAACACGUGAGUAACCGGCCCUAGAACUUGGGAUAACCCUCGGAAACGGGGGCUAAUACCGGAUACCCCUUCUAAAUCGCGUGCUGUGGGGGGGAAAGGUUUUCGGUCUGGGCUGGACUCGCGGCCUAUCAGCUUGUUGGUGGGGUAAUGGCUUACCAAGGCGAGGACGGGUAGCCGGCCUGAGCGGGCGACCGGCCACACGGGGCCUGAGGCACGGCCCAGUCUCCUACGGGACGCAGCAGUGGGGAAUAUUGCACAAUGGGCGGACGCCUGAUGCAGCGACGCCGCGUGCGGGAUGACGGCCUUCGGGUUGUAAGCCUCUUUCAGCAUGGCCGAAGCGUAAGUGACGGUACCUGCAGAGGAAGCGCCGGCCAACUACGUG